rnacentral:rRNA from 1 species
GACGAACGCUGGCGGCGUGCUUAACUCAUGCAAGUCGAACGGAAAGGCCCUGCUUUUGUGGGGUGCUCGAGUGGCGAACGGGUGAGUAACACGUGAGUAACCUGCCCUUGACUUUGGGAUAACUUCAGGAAACUGGGGCUAAUACCGGAUAGGAGCUCCUGCUGCAUGGUGGGGGUUGGAAAGUUUCGGCGGUUGGGGAUGGACUCGCGGCUUAUCAGCUUGUUGGUGGGGUAGUGGCUUACCAAGGCUUUGACGGGUAGCCGGCCUGAGAGGGUGACCGGCCACAUUGGGACUGAGAUACGGCCCAGACUCCUACGGGAGGCAGCAGUGGGGAAUAUUGCACAAUGGGCGGAAGCCUGAUGCAGCAACGCCGCGUGCGGGAUGACGGCCUUCGGGUUGUAAACCGCUUUCGCCUGUGACGAAGCGUGAGUGACGGUAAUGGGUAAAGAAGCACCGGCUAACUACGUG